CAAACUCAGUCAGUGUAAUGGAAAUUCAUUUUUAGAUGAACAUGUGUAGGGAAAACUUGCUUACUCCUCAUCUUUAGAUGUGUGAAAAGUCACUUGUGUUCACAGUGUACUUUUGUUUAUACAGCCUUACAUUCCCGUAUGUGACCACCUGGUCCUUAUCUUUCCAAUUAGGCUUUAAGAUGAACAUUUGUUAGGGGUAAGGGGCAUGGGCUGUGUGAUAUAUGACAGGGAAGCAGCAGGAUGGUUUUCACACCUGUCGUGGUAUGUGUGGUUUGGGUUGAACUGGAGUUGACCUCGUAAGCAGCACAACCCAGAUAAAAGGAUGAGCACACUUUGCUUCAUUGUCUCACUCUGCAGAAACUGUUGUUGCUGUAUGACUGUGACCUUCUUUGCAAAGAAUAAAAGCUUUGAAAAGACAUCCCGGGUAAGACUUUGUUUCUUGACCACCGAGAGCGCCUCCUUAAAGGAAAUUGCCACUACAAUUUGGUGUCAGAAGUGGGAUGUCUUGGAGGAACUUUUCCGGACCCUGCGGACGGUGACUGAUCAUCCUGGGACUUUGUGUCACAGCCCUGCCCCGCUUGGUUGAGGGUUGAGGGGCCGACCGCCGGGCUCGGAGAAGAACCCCACUGACAUCUGGGAAAAAGAACUCAGUGGCAUCUGAACUCUCUGGUAAAGGCUGCACAGGGGAAGGCUGCUGAGAGACCACUGCACAGUCUGAGGCCUGGCAAUUUCGUGGUGAUCAGGGACCUGAGGAGAAAGAGCUGGAGAGCAAAGCGCUGGCUGGGUCCAUUUCAAGUGUUAUUGAUCACUGAGACGGCGGUGAAGGUCGCAGAGCGGGCAACGUGGGUGCAUGAUGGCCACUGCAGGAAAAUUCCAUCUCCUGAGGAGGAUUCCACGAGGGAGUAGGAGAGAAAGAGGGGCUCUGAAACCAUCUGAAGGAAAACAGCAGGGUGUUAUCUGAGGGAAGCAAGGUCACAGCUGGGGAGAAACAACAACAACUCAAGAGGUGUGUGUGAAACAGUAACUUCUUAAUACAACACCAAGCAGCAAUCAGACGGAGGAGAAGACGACCAAAAGAGAGGUGAAUAAGCUGUGCUUGACCAUCACAUAAGGAUCUGGAGAUGGACGAAAAGAUUCGCUGGCAUCCAUUCCGUGUGCAAGGAAUGUGUGGUCUGAGGAGAACAACACUAGCAUUGCAGCUAGUGUCACAUUAAUUAACCUGAUUACAGCAAAACAUUUCCGACAUUGUGACCCACAUGAGAAUGACCGUAAAAGAACCUAAGAAAGUUAGCAACCCAGAGCUAGAUUGGCUGUCAUUUAAGUGGGGAAACUGGAUCUACUGGGCCUUUACUGUGGUGUUACCUGUAUUGGGGGUGGGUGUAGUGAUAUUAUGUUGUCUGCCAUGUAUAUUCAGAUUUGUAUUAUGGUCAGUGGGCAGACUGAUUACACCUACAACAUCCCAGCAGAUGAUAAGAGUGGCCGUGAAUGAAGAGGGUAUGAAUAUUGACAUGGGUGAAGAUUUUGAUUAUGACUUUGAUGAUAGCAGCAGCUACAUAGAAAUGGAUAAAGAAAACCCGUAAAUAAUUGAGAACAAAAUUUUCGGUGACGGCUGUUACUUAAUUGGGAAAAUAUUAACGGACCUGACUUUUUGAAAUUUGAGAUAACUAUCUGCUUGCUCAUAAGUAUUCUGGGUCUGUCCAAACAAAAACAGCAAACUGCAUGAGUUGGUAUGCUCUGUAACAAAUCUCAAGAGUGAUCAUUUGCAUGAAACUUGAGAGAAGAGUAAAUGUGAUGAAUGAAGGGUACAGUAACAACAAGGUGUUCCUGUUUAUGAAUGUUAUUAAUGGUGAACUAAUGAUGUAGAGUAUUAGUGAUUUGUAACUGAUUGAAGAAAUGUUUUGCAGAAUUUAUUAUGUGUAUGAAACAUUAAUAAUGUGAAAAUAACAGGCAAUUUCUGGGAUUUGAACCUCUGUGGGGUGACUGAGGGUCCGAUUUCGAUCGGGAGUGCAAUAACAGUGAUUAUUCGUUUAGCCCGGCUCCCAGGGAAGAGGGAUGUUUUGAAAGAUAAAUCUUAAUGGGGAAACUAUUAAGAAGAGUGUUUAAACAUCUCUAGUGUAUUUGAUGUGUGCAGAAACCUGUUAAAUGAUUUUUAUAAUCAGUGUGAUUUUGUAUUCAAUUGAAAAAUGAAUUUAAUAGUGAGUUAUCAAUGAAUGAUAAAAAGAGAGGAAUUGUAAUGGAAAUUCAUUUUUAGAUGAACAUGUGUAGGGAAAACUUGCUUACUCCUCAUCUUUAGAUGUGUGAAAAGUCACUUGUGUUCACAGUGUACUUUUGUUUAUACAGCCUUACAUUCCCGUAUGUGACCACCUGGUCCUUAUCUUUCCAAUUAGGCUUUAAGAUGAACAUUUGUUAGGGGUAAGGGGCAUGGGCUGUGUGAUAUAUGACAGGGAAGCAGCAGGAUGGUUUUCACACCUGUCGUGGUAUGUGUGGUUUGGGUUGAACUGGAGUUGACCUCGUAAGCAGCACAACCCAGAUAAAAGGAUGAGCACACUUUGCUUCAUUGUCUCACUCUGCAGAAACUGUUGUUGCUGUAUGACUGUGACCUUCUUUGCAAAGAAUAAAAGCUUUGAAAAGA